GACGAACGCUGGCGGCGUGCUUAACACAUGCAAGUCGAACGGAAAGGCCCUGCUUUUGUGGGGUGCUCGAUUGGCGAACGGGUGAGUAACACGUGAGUAUCCUCCCCUUGACUUUGGGAUAACUUCAUGAAACUCGGGCUCUUACCCGAUAUGAGCCCCCGCUCCAUGUUGGUUGUUGGAAAGUUUCGGCGCUUGGGUCUGGACUCGCGGCUUCCCCGCUUGCUUGUGGGGUAGUGUCUUACCAAGGCUUUGACGGGUAGGCGGCCUGCGAGGGGGGACGGGCACAAUGGGACUGAGAGACGGACCAGACGGCUACGGGAGGCAGCAGUGGGGAAUAUUGCACAAUGGGCGGAAGCCUGAGGAAGCAACGCCGGGAGCGGGAUGACGGCCUGCGGGUGGAAAACCGCUGUCGCCGGUGACGAAGCGGGAGUGACGGUAAUGGGUAAAGAAGCAACGGCUAACUACGUG
rnacentral:rRNA from 1 species